UCAGGGGCGUUGCCUCAGUUGAUGCCAGGGUCUGUGUGGGUCCAAGCACUGACUGCAGAGCCGGAUGCCAAGUCCCACAGAGUGUGGGAGCAUGGGGGGGGGGGGGAGAGACUGAUCCUAUCUCAGUAUGUGACGGAGAGGGGAAUUCCCCAUCGCUCAACAACCGGUGGCUGGGCCUGUGAUGCCCACUUUGCUCCCCUGGUGGUUCCUGGUUUUGGGGACACAUGGGCACCAGGCUGAGCCCCCACAAACUCAUCUCACCCAGAGCCCUGAGCCGGGAUCACCUUUCUGUGAUGGCCACAUCACACCCCCACCGCCGUUUGGUCCCUAACCCCCCCCCUUGCUGUCCCUGCUAUGACCCCCCUAUGCCAGCCCUGUCCCCCAUGCCAUCUCUGCCAUGCCCCCACCUGAUGCCAGCCCUGCCACACACCCAACCCCAUGCCAUCCCUGUCCCCCCAUGCCAGCCCUGCAGUGCCUCUGCUGUGCUUCGGUCUUUAAUUAUAGGGUUGUGGGGUGUUUCCCAGAAGGGCUCUGGCCUUGUGUCCAGCCUCUUCCAGUGCCAUGGGCGCUGAUGGCAGGACAGUAGGGGGAGGGUCAUGAGACCCAUGACCCCACCCUAAGCAGGGGCCCACAGGUGCUCCCAGGGCUGGGGAGUGUUACCUGUCAGCUCUGUGCUCUUGGGGAACCAGGGUGCAGUACCCAGCCUUCCCCCCACCCCCGAGCCUCUGCUUGAACGAAAACUGAUCAGAAGACAAAUGUACAAAGGUGGGGGGAGGGAUAGCUCAGUGGUUUGAGCGUUGGCCUGCUAAACCCAGGAUUGUGAGUUCAGUCCUUGAGGGGACCAUUCAAGGAACUGGGGCAAAAAAAUCUGUCUGGGGAUUGGUCCUGCUUUGAGCAGGGGGUUUGGACUAGAUGACCUCUUGAGCUCUCUUCCAACUCUGAUAAUCUAUGGUGAACCCAGCUCAGCAGUUCUCAGACCAAUUCUAUCUAUGAAUCCUUUAUUGGUAUCCAAAAUAUGGAAGCUGCUAAUUGCAUUGUGAGCUCCCUGGAAGGAACACCGCCCAUAGCCAGGAAUGAUCAGCUCCCAUUGUCUAGCCUGGACAAAACAACUCUGGUAUCCUCCCUGGAGCCAUCAGUUUACACAAACAAAUCUAGUGUUCUCCCUUGAACCACUGUCCUUUCUCAACACAACCCCCUACCCAAGCUUCACAGAGUGGUGAGAACCCAGCUCUCUCAGUGUAGCCUUCUGACCCUGACUUGUGUGAUCAGUGAUCAUUUUCUAAACCUGACCUUUAUAAUCAAACUUAAGUUAGAUUUAAUAUUAUCACUGUUUUGUUUGUUUGGCUCCCCACUGGUUAUUACUUGGCAAUAAAUAAUUUUCAUGAUUAA